UACAGAGGGGGCAAGCGUUGUUCGGAAUUACUGGGCGUAAAGGGCGCGUAGGCGGCCUGUUAAGUCGAACGUGAAAUCCCCGGGCUCAACCCGGGAACUGCGUCCGAUACUGGCAGGCUUGAAUCCGGGAGAGGGAUGCGGAAUUCCAGGUGUAGCGGUGAAAUGCGUAGAUAUCUGGAGGAACACCGGUGGCGGAAGGCGGCAUCCUGGACCAAUUCUGACGCUGAGGAGCGAAAGCCAGGGGAGCAAACGGG
rnacentral:rRNA from 1 species